AGCCUUGUACACACCGCCCGUCAAGUCAUGGGAGCCGGGAGUGCCCGAAGUCGCCAAAUUUCAUUGGUGCCCACGGCAAGCUCGGUGACUGGGACU
rnacentral:rRNA from 1 species